GUGGUGUUGGUGGCUGCAGGCGGUCGCUCCUCUGUUGCCCUGGAAACACAGAUGGUGGAUGAAGGGCGCGCAUACAAAAGAGCGUAAAACCUGUGGCAGAGGCAGCAGCUGGAGAGCGAGAGAGCACCGGCUCAUGCAGUCCUGUGCUCUCUCUCUCAGUGGUGGAGCACGUCUCUCUCUCUCUCUCUCGCUCUCUCUGUGACACCUUCCAUCCAUUUUCUUUGUCUCGGGGGUUUUCCGUUUCCACUUCUCCCUGUUUACCCAGGACUGGACCAUCCCGUCAGUCAGUGCGCAGCUGCUGUUGGCACUCCCACAUCCGCUGCUGUGGGCUCCACCGACACACAGACGACGCUCAGCCGCGGAACAUGCUAGUGUGUGUGUGCGAACAGUCGCCUUUCACUGCACACACGCACACAGAUUUGCGUGUGUUUGCGUGUUACACCGCUCCUUUUUUUGCCAGGAUGGAAAACAGAAGAAGAGAAGGAAGAUGUGGUUUCUUUUUCACCGUGAUGCUGCAGGACAGGUAACCUUGUGGACGCUGCUGCACGGACAUGACGCUGUAUUUAUCUGCGGAGCUGCCGACAGGUCACCUUUCAGGACGCCAGGAGGAUCCACAUGGGAACCAACAGCAUGACAGGUUAUGUGUACUGGCUGGAUUAUCUUUAUUCACAUCAUGAGGGAAGUUAAUCACAGGCACAUUCACAGGAGACUUUAAUGGCAACUCUGUCAAAUCAGUAAGAUAAAUGAGAUCAAUUAAACCUAUUUCAAGUGAUACAUCAUUUAAGAUUGGGUGUAUUUCAUCCCUGUUGUCUGUAAAUAAAAGGGAGAAAUGAGAGAAGAGCCAUUCCCUGGGGUAACAUAGGAAGACAGUUGGGUUGCGUCCCACUUUUCUGCUGCUUUGUGUUGUGUGUUCUUCUCCAGUUACACUGAAGAAAGAACAGAUCGGGACUCACCCUGGACCUCAUUGUUAACCUGGCGACAUUGCACCCCCCCCCCCUCUGCUGUGCUGCAAACCAAAAAGACUGGUAAAUGAUCUCCAGUGAUCGAUGCACGAUGCCACCACUGCUCUCCUGCACCUUCAGACGGAGAGGAUCCAUGUUGGAGUGUUCCCCCCACUGACAGAAAAUCUCUGCCACCUUUGUGCAUCAGUGAACGCAACUUUGAAGAGUUAAAAAAAAUGCCACCGCUCGUUGGUGUAGUCAGUGUGAGCAUGAUCAGAUUAAGCAGGAAGGUAUUUCAUAUGAAAAAUUGUUUUGCUGGAGCGUUGAGGUUUUUUUUGUCACCCCUCGAUCGUCUGUAUUUGUCCCCCCUCAUCCCCUGCUGUGAGUAAUACCAAGUACAGCUUCAUCCGCCCCCGCUCUCACUUCUGGCUGAUCACUGCAGCGAUCGAACGCGUCACGCUCGCUUUCUUCAGCUGCCAUGUGCAGUGACCUCUUCCCGCUGUUACCUUGGUUACUCUGUCUAACGCUGUAGUCGCUUCUCACCCAUGUGGGAGACACUUUUAACAACAGUGCUGUCCUGUGUGUCUUCUCAACAAAGCAAGCAUGUCUCUGUGCCAGAUCCAGAAUAUAUUUUAAUACAUUAAUAAUAUUCUUAGUGUGUGAGAAUGGUUUUCACACAUUUUACAAAGUGUAAUUAACACAGUAUGUCAUUGUUUGUCUUGAAUCCUUUUAAGUUGAGUUACUUUACACAGACGUUUUUUUUACUGUCAGAGUGGGUGUGUUUGUGUGUCUGUGUGAGUGCACUUGUGUGUACGCAUGUGCUCUAAUCAGGUUUGUGUGUGUUCAUCCUCGUAACUGUGCAUGUGUGUUUGUCUGUCUGAUAUUUGUACUGGGCCUGAAACUAUAAACUGCUUUACUGUGAUUUCCCCAUAGCUGAAAACCUUCUUUACCAAAAAAGCCACUGGAUGUAACAGAGAAGGGAUAAAAAAAUAUUUACAAAUGAUUCUUAGCAUUUGUUACCAUCUCAUUGAAGAACCAGUGAUUGUGAUUUAGAUAAUCACAAGAAUGCUGCUGGAAAUUAAUGGUGUGUAGUUUUCUAAACGACGCCUGCUGGCAUUAAUUACACUGCUCGGAUGCCUGCAGCCCCGUCAUCUGAUGCUUAAGCAAAUGACAUCAAAUGCUAAUAAUUAUGUGCAAAUAGCUUUUUACCCAGGUCUGGAUCGUACUACUAACAGUAUCUCACUAAUAUCUAACAGUACUAAUGUGUGCUAAUGAAGAUUACUAACCUGUCCUCUGAAUGCUGAUGGCUGGCCUGGUUCCUCUCUAACCCACUGACUAACCCUCUGCUUUAUACAUACACACUCCUCUCUCAUGAUCCUGCAAUCCUUCUACAGAUGGUCACCUUCAGAUGAAUUAUUAAUGAAAAAAAAAAUAAUCAAAAAACCGUUAAAGUGAGCGAGUCAAGAAGGGUUUCAGGACAUGGGAAGGGAAAUGUUAUUAACCACGAAAUGAUAAGAGGAGCAGACGCAGCUGCUGGUAUAGAAUGGGUUGACCACACACCUAACUGAAGCUGACUCUCAUCUGAUUCCACUGGAUUUGUCACUGGUUAUUCACUGUGAAGGCUGAAUUCAAACAUUCAGAGAGCAGCUUCGUGUCUGUGACUGUGUGGUCAACCUGUGCAGGUGAGUGUCUGGCUUGUUGUGCAGUGACACACACAAGGCAAGCUAACCUCAGCUCCACUACUAACUCCUUAUGGUGUUGAUACUAACAAUGGCGAGGGUGUAAAGACCCGCCUGACGCUCUUACUAACACCUGUUCUCCCUGACUGAAACUCUUUCAGUCCUGAUGUCUCCUUCUUAAUUUCUUUUAUCAGAUCAGAUCUAUAUUAGCACCAGGGAUGUUCUUAAAAUCACAUUGCAUGGAAACAUUUAUCCUAAAUAUCCUCUGUGGUGUCAUGAUUUAGUGCAGUGAGCCGUAUGACUAAAAACUACGAGUCCUGAUGACUGAGCUCAGCAAGAGUUGUUACUAACAUCACCUAAAGUUAACAGUUACUAACCCGAAGAGCGUUUUAACAGCUCUCUGCAAACUAACAAACUAACCCACUAAUAAACUAAUGAUCUAACAAAAACAACAACUAAAUUUACUAACUCACUUUGUGAUGAGAGUUAGUGAAGCAGCCUGAUUUUCAGGAGUUGCAUUAUUUAUUGAAUGUACUAACAGAGUUAAUAAUUUAUGAAUUCAUGACAGGAUUGAAUGUGCCUGUGUGUGUGUGUGUGUGUGUGUGUGUGUAAGCGUGAGCGCAGAAGAGCAUGUGAGUGUGUGUGUGUGCGCAGAAUGUGAAAUGUAACCAUAUUCAUCAGAACCAAAUGUUUCCAGUAUUAAUCUUUCAAACAAAGUGAGCGUUAAGAUGCCUCUAAAUCUCAGUUAUAACAAUCAGCCUGUGCAUGUGAAUGCAUCAUGGCAUGUAAAGAAAAAUGAGUUCAAUGUAUACAAAUAUUUUUAUACCUUAUUGCUAAUGCAUCAGUUGUCUUAUGAUAAACCUUUGUAAUAAACAC